GUCACUGAACCAGCACCGCAGAACUCCAUCACCAGCUAUGGUCCCGAGUCCAAGGAAACAAUGAGGAAGAAAAAUAUCUGUCAGGCAAGGCCUCUGCCCCCAACCAGACUCCUGUUGGGGACCAGACUGGUGUGAGUCAGACAGCAGGGGCUAGAUGAUGCCACAGGUCACAGAGAAGGCGCAGACUUGGAGAAGAACUGGUAGUAUUUUCCCUAGAAUCCCAAAUGGCUUAGAACUUCUGCUUUAGAGCAGAGGCUGGCAAGUACAGGUGCCGAAGAAUGUUGUUUUGUUUGUGGGUUUUUUGCUUUUUAAAAAGUUUUUGGUUUUGUUUUGAGAUAGGUUCUCACCAUAUAGCUCUAACUGGAACUCAUUAUAUAGACAAGGCUGGCCCUUAACUCAAGAGACACAUCUGCUGCCGGGCGGUGGUGGUGCACACCUUUAAUCCCAGCACUCAGGAGGCAGAAGCAGGCAGAUUUCUAAGUUCGAGGCCAGCCUGGUCUACAGAGUGAGUUCCAGGACAGCCAGGGCUACACAGAGAAACCCUGUCUCGAAAAAAACAAAAAAAUCCAAAGAGAGAGAGGGGGGUACAUCUGUCUCUUCCUCUGCCUCCCAAGUGCUGGGAUUGAAGGUGUACGCCAGCACCAUCCAGCUCCUGUAAAUUACUUUUGCGUAUGCAUGGGGUGCUAGGGAGUGCAUUCAAGGCACUAACUAGGCGAGCACCUGACAGUGAGCUACACUCAGAUCAACAAGCAGGCUUCCCAUCACUGGGUACAAACAUCUACUGCCAAGAUCAGCCAUUUGUGUGUUCUUAGUAUCCAAGCUCAUGUCCCCAGUCUUGAAAGGCAACUGAGCUAUCUCCUCAGUCUGUGUCCACUAUGUUUAAUGAUUAGGGGGAAAAAAACCAAAAGAAUACUAUUUCAUGACAAAUGAGAAUAAUUGGAAAUUUUAAUAACCUAAAUAUAAAUUUGAGAUUCAGGCACAGUCAUUUUCAGGUCUGUUUGAGUGAGAGUCUUUCCACAGAGUAGCCUUAAACACAUGCUCCCCCCGCCCCCAGCCUCCUGAGUGGCAGGACUAGGUGUGAGCCUCGCUGCUUGGCUAGCCAUGGUUAGCUGUUCAUGUGUUUCUAUUGCUUUCAGGGUGUGAGCAAGAGUGAGUAGUGAUCAGCAAAUGUGACCAUGUGACUGAAGCGCUUACUAUUUGGACCUUCCCAGAAAAAGCUCAACAUCUUUGCCUCAGAUAAGGAGGGGGGUGCUCAGGGUCCCACGCAGUACGCUGCUGAGGGAGUCCGGGAGUGCCUUCCGACUGUUUCACUAAAGUUGACAUCUACUGUAGGAAAGGGCUGGUUGGGACUGGUUAUAUUUGCGAUGUAAUUAAAGUAACUGCCGUGUGUCCACCACUGGACACCAGAAUGCAGUGGGUGGAGUAGAGGCCCAGGUCCCCACAGCUAACAAGAGCGUGCUUGGCCACCAUUGCUUACCUCCCAGUCCUCAGUGUGGCUCCUACUAUACACAAUUUGGUGUGUGAUAUGUGUCCCCCAAAAUCAUUGGGGCCACUGAGGCUGCAAACAUCUCUCAUGCUCAUCUUUGCAGGGUAUUCAGAAGAUGCUUACUGACCAUCUUAAGUCUAGUGUGCUUCCAGGGGGUGAGGCCAGGCAUGUUGUCCCGAUAGCCACAAUGGUGCCCCUAACAGCUCUUCCCUCAAGUAUGGGCCCAGCACCACAAUGGGUGAAGCUGGAAACUCAGUAGCACUGAUGUCUAAGCUAGGGAGGGAAGGACUUGUGGGUAUUGAGGUUCAGGAGGUAUCUGGGUAGGCUUUGGUUCAAACCAUCACCCAAAAGGGCUGUGUACUGCCAGGAAGGGUCUGAGUCCUGUUGUUUCCCACAGAUACCUUCAUUCUAUGGCUUUCCCAAUAUUGUAUUCAAAGGCACAAGAACUUACAGACUAAGCCUCCUCCACCCUCAUCCCCGUCUUCUGGCCAUGGUCAAGAUUCUUACUGCUUACUGAUUAAGAAGUGCUUGCCAACUAGCGAGGGAAUGGAGGAGUCAAACACUAGGAUCACGAGACACACUGAGGACAAGACACUGGGCAAACAGGGAGGUGAGGCCUGUGCUCCCACAGACCCUUUCUGGACGCCAGCCCAUCCUUCCCAGCUCCACUUCCUACCUCUGUGACAUCCAUGACCUUAAUGGCAGCCAGCUGCCCAGUCUUGACGUGCCGCCCCUGCAAGACAGUCCAGUAUGGAGGGUGUGGAGGGCUCCGGGUACAGGGUCACUUCGUAAACUAAAGAAGAGGGACUGAUCCUGGGAAAAGCCA